rnacentral:tRNA from 1 species
UAGUGAGUAGUUUAAGCAAAACAAUAGGUUGUGGUUCUACAGAUAGAGUUAAUCUCUCAUUAA